rnacentral:rRNA from 1 species
UGCCAGCCGCCGCGGUAAUACGGAGGAUCCAAGCGUUAUCCGGAUUUAUUGGGUUUAAAGGGUGCGCAGGCGGAAGAUUAAGUCGGCGGUGAAAUUUUGCAGCUCAACUGUAAAAGUGCCAUCGAUACUGGUUUUCUUGAGUGUGGAUGAAGUAGGCGGAAUUUGUGGUGUAGCGGUGAAAUGCAUAGAUAUCACGAGGAACUCCGAUUGCGCAGGCAGCUUACUAGGCCAUAACUGACGCUCAGGCACGAAGGCGUGGGGAUCAAACAGGAUUAGAAACCCGGGUAGUCCCGAAAC